rnacentral:rRNA from 1 species
AGCGAACGCUGGCGGCAGGCCUAACACAUGCAAGUCGAACGAACUCUUCGGAGUUAGUGGCGGACGGGUGAGUAACACGUGGGAACGUGCCUUUAGGUUCGGAAUAACUCAGGGAAACUUGUGCUAAUACCGAAUGUGCCCUUCGGGGGAAAGAUUUAUCGCCUUUAGAGCGGCCCGCGUCUGAUUAGCUAGUUGGUGAGGUAAAGGCUCACCAAGGCGACGAUCAGUAGCUGGUCUGAGAGGAUGAUCAGCCACAUUGGGACUGAGACACGGCCCAAACUCCUACGGGAGGCAGCAGUGGGGAAUCUUGCGCAAUGGGCGAAAGCCUGACGCAGCCAUGCCGGGUGAAUGAUGAAGGUCUUAGGAUUGUAAAAUUCUUUCACCGGGGACGAUAAUGACGGUACCCGGAGAAGAAGCCCCGGCUAACUUCGUG